UGGGGAAUAUUGGACAAUGGGCGAAAGCCUGAUCCAGCCAUGCCGCGUGUGUGAAGAAGGUCUUCGGAUUGUAAAGCACUUUAAGUUGGGAGGAAGGGCAGUAAGUUAAUACCUUGCUGUUUUGACGUUACCGACAGAAUAAGCACCGGCUAACUUCGUGCCAGCAGCCGCGGUAAUACGAAGGGUGCAAGCGUUAAUCGGAAUUACUGGGCGUAAAGCGCGCGUAGGUGGUUUGUUAAGUUGAAUGUGAAAGCCCCGGGCUCAACCUGGGAACUGCAUCCAAAACUGGCAAGCUAGAGUAUGGCAGAGGGUGGUGGAAUUUCCUGUGUAGCGGUGAAAUGCGUAGAUAUAGGAAGGAACACCAGUGGCGAAGGCGACCACCUGGGCUACUACUGACACUGAGGUGCGAAAGCGUGGGGAGCAAACA
rnacentral:rRNA from 1 species